rnacentral:rRNA from 1 species
UGGCUCAGAUUGAACGCUGGCGGCAGGCUUAACACAUGCAAGUCGAGCGGAGAGAGGUAGCUUGCUACUGAUCUUAGCGGCGGACGGGUGAGUAAUGCUUAGGAAUCUGCCUAUUAGUGGGGGACAACAUUUCGAAAGGAAUGCUAAUACCGCAUACGUCCUACGGGAGAAAGCAGGGGAUCUUCGGACCUUGCGCUAAUAGAUGAGCCUAAGUCGGAUUAGCUAGUUGGUGGGGUAAAGGCCUACCAAGGCGACGAUCUGUAGCGGGUCUGAGAGGAUGAUCCGCCACACUGGGACUGAGACACGGCCCAGACUCCUACGGGAGGCAGCAGUGGGGAAUAUUGGACAAUGGGCGGAAGCCUGAUCCAGCCAUGCCGCGUGUGUGAAGAAGGCCUUAU